GGCCUAUCAGCUUGUUGGUGGGGUAGUGGCUUACCAAGGCUUUGACGGGUAGCCGGCCUGAGAGGGUGACCGGCCACAUUGGGACUGAGAUACGGCCCAGACUCCUACGGGAGGCAGCAGUGGGGAAUAUUGCACAAUGGGCGGAAGCCUGAUGCAGCAACGCCGCGUGCGGGAUGACGGCCUUCGGGUUGUAAACCGCUUUCGCCUGUGACGAAGCGUGAGUGACGGUAAUGGGUAAAGAAGCACCGGCUAACUACGUGCCAGCAGCCGCGGUGAUACGUAGGGUGCGAGCGUUGUCCGGAUUUAUUGGGCGUAAAGGGCUCGUAGGUGGUUGAUCGCGUCGGAAGUGUAAUCUUGGGGCUUAACCCUGAGCGUGCUUUCGAUACGGGUUGACUUGAGGAAGGUAGGGGAGAAUGGAAUUCCUGGUGGAGCGGUGGAAUGCGCAGAUAUCAGGAGGAACACCAGUGGCGAAGGCGGUUCUCUGGGCCUUUCCUGACGCUGAGGAGCGAAAGCGUGGGGAGCGAACAGGCUUAGAUACCCUGGUAGUCCACGCUGUAAACGGUGGGUACUAGGUGUGGGGUCCAUUCCACGGGUUCCGUGCCGUAGCUAACGCUUUAAGUACCCCGCCUGGGGAGUACGG
rnacentral:rRNA from 1 species